CCACUUACUAAAGUUGGAGCUGACUUGCCUCUCUCGUGCUUCAGCAUUUUCCCGAGAAAGUUGAAUCUAAAUUUUCUAUCGAAAAUUUGAAAUGGGAGUGAAAGUAGGAUACACUUCGCCCUUCCUUCAAUGGGCGGCUCAUCCUUCUUCUUCUUCUCAAACCCUAGCUUCCAGAGCCAUCUCAUCUCCUUCAAAACGACGUCACAACGCGCCGUUUCCAUCCUGUCAGAGACUGAACCGCUCAGCUCUCUUCGGAACUCCUACAAAGCUCCAUCGCUCCAAGUCCUGCGAGCUAUGGCAACCAUCCACACCGACAAGGACCUAUUCGAUUCGAAGAGCUUGCAGCGCAAGCCUAGAUCCCUUCUCGGACGAAGAGUUCUCCAAGAAGAUCCAAGAGCUAACUCUCAGAUUCCACGACGAGAGAAAACAAAUGGAUUCAAUCGAGAUCGAAAUGAAAGCGAACAGUGUGGACCUUCCUCUCUCGAUUCGUAUGAUAAAGAAGAAGAGAAAAUGGGAGGAAGGAGUCAAGAAGAGCAACGCCUUCUCGGCGAUGAGCAAGGCCUUCUCCUCGAUGGUGUUCAUGAUCCGAGAGCUCCAGAGCUUCACUCUGCACAUGAGAGAGGUUCUCUUCUACGAAGACUUGCAAGGGAUCUUGCUUAGAGUUAGAGAAGAGAUGCACGCUUCCUUCGUUUGGCUGUUCCAGCAGGUCUUCUCCGCCACCCCUACCUUGAUGGUCUAUGUGAUGAUACUCCUCGCGAACUUCACCGUUUAUUCUAUCAGUAGCAACUCUGCUUUAGCCGCAGCCGCAGCCGCUCCUCCUCCGACCACCACCACCGUGACAGAGCUAACAACCGAGAAGUUCGAUUCAUCAUCGGUUGUCAAAACGUUCUUUGUAUCGUCUCCCAACGGGAAUACGGCUUCCCUGGGCGGCAACAACAAUGGCGGCGGCGGCGGGAACAUCCGGCCGGUGUUGAGCGGAACUGAUGGCGAUGAUGGAUCAGAACAGUUCAGAACAAGCAUACCCGAAGGAGUCUCGUCAACGCUCGGGUCAACGACAACAGAGUCAGAGGAGACAUCAGUGUCGGGACAAGACGAACUCAGGCUGUGGAAUUCGGUUGUGGAGGAAGCAGAGCAAAUGCAGUUUUCAAAUACAGACGAUGCACUGUUGGAUCACGGGACGAGGAAGCGGUUCGUGUCUCCUUUGGAUGCUCGAGUAGAAGAAGCAGAUGAGGACAUUCAUUACUUCAGAACAGAGCUUCUCUACCAAACAGGACUGUCUCAAGAGCCUAAUAAUCCUCUGCUUCUCGCUAACUAUGCUCAGUUCCUCUACAUCGUCUCUAAUGACUAUGACAGCAGAAUAUAUUCGACCAAGAGAGUUGAACCAUUUCUUUUCCUCUUGGAGUAAUAAGACAGUGCAUAAAAAUAUCUAGCGGGGAAUAAAUAAAGACAUAAGAUUAGUUCAAGCCAAUGAGCUUCGAGUCUUUGAGGGCUGAUGAUAGUGGAGUUUACGGUGGAGCUUUAAAGACACCCCACCAGAAUCCAACAAGUUAAAAGAGCAGAAGAAUACUUCAAAAGAGCGGUAGAAGUGGAACCGAAAGACGCAGAGGCCCUGAGCAAAUACGCCACGUUCUUAUGGAGAGCACGGGACGAUCUUUGGGCUGCUGAGGAGACUUUCUUGGAAGCAAUCGAUGCCGAUCCCACCAACUCUUUCUAUGCCGCUAAUUACGCUAAUUUUCUAUGGAACACUGGCGGUGAUGAGACGUGUUUCCCUCUCGACGAGUCUCAGGAAGAC